AUAAAAACCUAACGUAUUUUGAUCACUUUUAAAUUAUUUUUUGUAUUCUUCAUUUCGCAAACGCUAGAGACAUUUUGUGUAAUUAAAAUUUAUCUAUAAAAGUUGUAAUUAUUAUGGUUAUGAAUCAUGACACUUCAAUUUUUUAUUCAUACAUCAUUAGCAAAAUUAAAGAGUUUUCUCUAUUGUUGGUUAAGUUAGAUCCUUUUCCAUACUAGAUGCCACUUGAUGUUUCAUUAUAAUGUUGAUGUUGUUGGUUUACCAGAAGAGUUAUAAAUAAGUUGGAUACCACAUCUCUAUAUAAAAAUGCGGCACAAUUAGUUUAUAGAUCUUCUAAUUUAUAUGUUGAUCAACAUUCACUUUUAUAUUUAAUGAUGUAUGACAUCUAAUUUUCACUUGCCACAAUCAUUUCACUCUUGUGUGUGAGCUCAUCCAUUCAUCUCGGUAUACUCGCUUUCAAGCAGAAGCUUUUUUCAUUCACAUAUGCUUACAUCGGCAUUGCUUGUUGCAUCAACCACAUGAAACAGUCACUUUUAGUACUCAUCGGCUCUGAUACCACUGUUGUGUCAUAAAGGUGUUCAAAAGAUCAACGACAUUAGAUAAGAUUAAUCACACAACCGAGUUAGACACUACAUCUCUAUAUAAAAUAUUAAGACAUUUGGUUUAUAGGACCUUUAAUUUUAUAUAUUAAUCAACAUUCAUUUCUUUAUUUAAUAUGAGAUUUCUAAUCCACAUUUACCACAAUGGAAUCAUAAGCUUAUGACACAGUUUUUUAUGCAAAACUUUUUUAAUUUCUUGAAAGUGUUUUUUAAGGUAAAAAAGUUUGGCCUUAAAUCUAAUGAUACAAACUUGUCAAAAAGAAAAUCUUAAUGAUGGAAAAAUUGAAGAUAAAGCAUCAAAGUAGUUAUGCGCUUUCCACCCAAUCUGUAAACACAACACAAUCCAAGUCCAAAAGGGUUGAAGCAAAGCAACGGAGCUUAAUUCAACGCGCAUGUAUAAUUUUCCAACACCCCACUACUGACCACAUGCAUAAUCAAACCCAUGCUUAAUUUGACAAUCUCAGCAUUUAUGUACAUAGUUUUUAUAAGUACUUAAGUUUUUCUUUUCACUAUUGCGCGGUCAUUUUUUAUGGUUGAAAUUCUUACGAUGUUUUACAUGGUGGCGGAGUUAGGAAAAAUGUUUGGAUGAGAAAAUACAUAAACGUAAAAUUAAAGUUGUAAUAAACACUAAACAUAAAGUUUAAGUGGUGGAAUUUGAUUAAAAAACUCGAUUCUGUACUUUAGGAAAAUAAAUUACAUAUUUAACUACCGCUAUAAAUUAUGUAAACCCCACAACUGUUAAAUGGAAUUUUUUUAUGUUGACCGAUCAAUAUAAGGGAGUUUGAAACCCCCCACAAAUUAGAAGGUUUGUAAACCUCUGCUACUCAGCUAAGUAUAAAUAUGACAAAAAAUCACGUAUGUCAUUUUUAGAACUGUCGAAAACUAAAACUGUUGAAAAAUUGUUUAAAAACUCGCAAAAUGGACCAAUGAUUUUUAAUUUUUUUUGCGUGGGCCACUACACCUUUUGCGGGGAUUUGGAUCCGUCGAAAACUAAAAUUGUUGAAAAAUUGUUUAAAAACUCGCAAAAUGGACCUAUAAUUUUUAAUUUUUUUCGGAUGGACCACUAUACCAUUUUGCGGAAAUUUAGAUAUGCCGAAAAUUAAAAUGGUCGCAGAAUUGUUUAAAAUCUCACAAGUUGAACAUACAAUUGUGAAUUUUUUUAUUUUUCCGAGUGGAUCACUUCUACAUUUCUAUUUUAAGCGUAAAAGUAUAUUUUUCGUUAAAAAAAUAAGUAACUAAAACUUUAAUAGCACAGUCAUGAAUGAUUUAUCGAAUAUAUGUAUAUAUUUGAUCAUAAUCUCAAUUUUUUAAUGGCAUGAUAUUAUUUUGUUCCAAAAAUGACAUAGAUUAUUAUAAAGUAAAUUUACACUCACCUUCUUUAAUAGAUGUUUAAAUUAGAUUACCAUCUUCUCUUAUAUCAAAAUGUACACUCUUCUCUCCUCUUAGACAAAACUUAUGAGAAAAAGUUACACUACCAUUUGUAGAGAGAACUUGAGUUAUAUUCUCCCUAUAUUAGGUUGAAAUAUCCACUCUCGCUAAAAUUAUUUUUCUAUAACAUAAUUGUUAAAUUCUUUUAAGAGACGUACCAUUUUUUUUUUGACAAAUGAGACGUACCAUUUUAGUCCCUCGAAGGUUGAGUUUGGAGUUACAUGUAACCUUAAAAAUUGUAUUGUGCGUUGUCAUGACAGAAAUGUGAGAUCAGCUUAAAGCUAAUGCAUAUGACAGAGUAAUGUGAACAUAAUUCAUUCUUUUUAGUGUGAAAUGUGAAGUUGUGUGAACUGAAUCUGUACAAAGUAUAUACAAAAAGAGCCUUUAAAAAAAAAGUAUCAAAAACAUAAAGAAAAAACCAAAUGGUCCUUCUUACCUUUCUAAUUUUUUUUUUCCAUGCACAAUUGCACACGACCAUGUACUUCAUGGUUUUAUGACAUGGGACUUGGGCGAUAAGUUGUCGUUAUUGUGUCUCUGACUUUUAAGGGCUCUGCUCAUUGCUUUUUAGGAACAAGUUUGAAUUGAAUCUCAAUUUAAAGCGUAUGUUUUCUAACU
rnacentral:lncRNA from 1 species